CUGCAAUAAAGCUCCAGGGUUUUCGAGGGGUAGGCCAUCAUAGUGCGAAACCUAAGAGGCAGAGGCGAAGUCUUGGGAAAAAAGAAAGUUCAUAUAAAAUACACCCAAAAUCCAAUAUAAAAAAAGGUAAAUGCAAAAUGAAGAACAGAUUGCAAACUAAGAUCGAUAUAAUUUGCUCAGACUCCUCAGGCCAUAGGAUAUUUAUCCGCUUGGCACAAAAGAAUGCCGGAUUAGAACUGCUCGGUUAGAACCCGCAUGCCACUCAAAAUAUCCUCAAGAGUAAAUAAGUGCAACCGGUUACAUCCAAAGUGCCCUAUCACCAGCCAAGAAAACCCGAGGCGCCCUCUUUUUUGGCAACAGUUCAACUCUUAAUUAUCCCUUAAUUGUCGCAACCAUCCGACAUUGAAAGGGCAAGUCAUCAUAGCAUGGAACAAAAGAGGCAAAGCCAAAGCCGCAGAUGAUAAAAGGCACCAAUAGCAACAUGAAAACUCAAGGUAUAAGUAAGAUAACACUUUUGGGGAAAAACGAAAAAAUGCGCAAAACUUAUGACGAAACCCCGACUUUAGAAAUUAGAGCAAAAAGCAUAGAACACCACCUAAUACACGAAUGAGCCUAUGGAAGACGGGAAAAAACCAUUAAUAUAUACAUAUAGAAGCGAGGUAACAAAAACCGAGUAGUGAAAUAAGUAUAAUAUAUUUUGCUCAGACUCCCCCGAUCAUCAAACAUUAUUAGAUUGGCGCCAAAACCUGUCCACUUAGCACCGGAGAUUGAGUCACAACCGACAUGUAUAUCGAAAGCAUUCUUAGUCCAAAUAAGAGGAACCGGUUGCCUAGGGAAAAGGCCAUCCAAAGUCCCCCUACUACCAGCAGAGAAGUGGAUAAAAAAUGACACUAUCAUCAUCCAAGAAGGCCUGGCGCGUCCUCUAUUAUAGCAAGUAAUUAACAUUCAAGGGGAAGGUCAUCAUAGCAUAGGACAAAAGAAGUAAAUAGACACUUUGAAAAAUAUAAGCUCUGGACUAAAAGCAAGGAAAUUGAAGGAACUGAAUAGCAGCAGCACAUUAUCCACAGAAAAACUAAAGUUAAUAUGCUGAAUUAAACAUAUUGCUAAGUUAAAUUGAGCUGAAUGCAGGAUGGCCGAUGGAAUUCCGAACUUUGUUGAUGUAUUCUGUAUCACAUGAAGGCAAAAUUGGAAUUGAUAUUACCUAAGACAUCCUCUCUUUGAAAGCGGAACUUUAUCAGAAGGCUCCAUAUGAUAUGUAGGUCUAGCUUUAUUAAACAUUCAAAUAUUAAAAUAUAGCGAGCAUAAACUAUUCAAGGAAUAAGGGAGUUACAAAGUUAUUAUACCUUGAAUUUUGUGCCGGUGAUGUUUCUCCAAAUAAUCCGCUCGAGAAUGAGUGAACUUGAUCCUCAUACUUAAUAAGUAAAUUAUUUGCAACUGGACCUUUAUAUUUUACAUUAGAGUUUACGGCAAAUUUUUUUGUAACUUUGAAAGAGGGGCCACUCGUAGUGAUUUUUUGGGAGUCUGGAGUUAUUUGGAAAAUAUGUUUCCGAUCCCCAAAGAGGCUUAGGUAGAUAAGUGCAUAGUAAAAGACACGAAUUUUAUUAGGAAAAAUUUAGAAUUUGUAGCAGCAAAUUAAUCAUGGUAACCUCAAAAAUUAAAUGCACCAGAAACCAGGGUUGAGAACAGGCAAUAAACCAAACCUAAAAAAACGAUGGAAAAAAAAAAGGGAAAAAGAGAGGAAGCGUUUAAAAAAAGGAAAAACGAGAGGGAAAAAUAAAGCUCUUUCGUAGGACCCCCAAAGAGGCUCAGGUAGAUAAGGGCAUAGCAAAACACGUAAUUCCUUUGGAAAAAUUCAGAAUUUACAGCAGCAAACAAAUCAUGCUCAUUUAAAAAUUUAGUGGAUCAGGAACCAGCAUGAAAAAUCGACAGUGAACCAAAUCUGGAAAAACAAUGUAAAAAAGAGGAAAAAGAAAGGGAAAAACUGAGGGAAAUUGUGCAAUAUUAUUUUACAAAGCUCCCAAAGAAGCUUAGGUAGAUGACUGCUUAGGUAAAAGCAUGCAGUUUUUUCCAGUAGAGAAUAAGAAAAUCUGCUACACUUUGUAAGUAGGAAGCAAAAGAGAAACUCCAAGGAAAAGAGUUAAAUAAAAGUAAAAGAUUUAAUCAGAAACAAUAAUAC
rnacentral:lncRNA from 1 species